CAAUAGCGUAUAUUAAAGUUGUUGCAGUUAAAAAGCUCGUAGUUGGAUUUCUGGUGGGAGCGAUCGGUCUGGCGCUUAGCGCGAGUACUUGCAUCGUCUCCGGCCAUCCUUGGGGAGAGUCUGUCUGGCAUUAGGUUGUCGGGCAGAGGAUCCUCAUCGUUUACUGUGAGAAAAUUAGAGUGUUCAAAGCAGGCUUAUGCCGUUGAAUAUAUUAGCAUGGAAUAAUAAGAUAGGACUUUGGUACUAUUUUGUUGGUUUGCGCACCAAAGUAAUGAUUAAUGGGGACAGUUGGGGGUAUUCGUAUUCCGUUGUCAGAGGUGAAAUUCUUGGAUUUACGGAAGACGAACUACUGCGAAAGCAUUUACCAAGGAUGUUUUCAUUAA
rnacentral:rRNA from 1 species